CUUAGGGCAUGAACUGGCUUUUGGAGCCCAUUCCCUGUGGAGAGACACCUUGUUCAGCCCAGAUACAGGGCAAAUUCAUUUAGUUUGGCAUUCAGUUGGAGUAGUAGCAAAUUAGCCUCAAGUGAAUCAGAGACUGGAUUCCCAACUGUGGAGAGCCAGACUGUCUGCCUUUUCUCCUCCAGAGAAUGCCCAAAGAAGCCUUGCCUGAGGGUACAGAAUCUUGUUCCAGCUCUGCUGCCAGAAGUUUUCAGAAAGGUGACAGAGCCAUCCAAGAGCCUUCAUCCAGCAGCUGAUGGAAGCAGAGGCAGACACCCACAGCUAAACACUGAGCCGAACUCCCUGGAAUCCAGCUUCAGAGGGAGAGGAGUGAUGAGCAAAGUGGUCAAGACCAGGCUAGAGAAACCCACAGAAACAGCUGACGUGAACAAGGGGGAGCUCAUGGACCCCAGACUGAUAGCUGGGAAACCAGCAUUGGACCUACCCAGACCUUCUGAACGUAGGUGUCAGUUAAGAGGCCUGGGCAGUCUAUGGGGCCUCUGGUAGUGGAUCAGUAUUUAUCCCUAGUGCAUGAAUGGACUUUGGGAGCUCUCUCCACAUAGAGGAUUACUCUCUUAGCCUAGACACACUGGGGAUGGCCUAGGCCCUGACCCAAAUGAUAUUACAGACUAGGGAGCAGAAAGGGGAU
rnacentral:lncRNA from 1 species